AAGAGGAUCUUAAUUAAUAAUUAUAAUAAAAGUAAUUUUAUGUAGGUAUUUUUAGUAUUGUUUAAAGGAAAAAGUAAUAAGUUGAUAGUUAAUUAGUAUUGUGGGAGAAAGAUGAAAUAUUGAAAAUUGAUUUGUUGAGAAGUAAUAGAUUGUACCUUGUGUCUCAGGGUUGAUUAAAUUUAUGACAAAGAUUAUGUUGAUCCCGAAUUAAAGAGAGUGAAAAUACUAAUAUUAAAAGUGUGGAAUAAUUUUAUUAAAUGGUAUUUUGGAAAUGAUAUGUUAUUCGUUCUUUAUGUUAUCUGGUUGUUUAAGAAGUAAAUUGAAUUUAGAUUAUUGUUAAAUAAUGGAAUUUUGGUGGUUUUAUUAUUAUUUGAAUAAUAAAUAAUUUAGGGGAUAAGCUCUGGGUUAUAAAUAAUAAGGUUUAUUGAUAAGCUAUUUAUGUAGGCUUUAAAUUAGCCAUCUAAGUGAAGUGUGUUAUAAUAUAUUUAAGGUUAAUUUUAUUUAGUGGAUCUUUUAUUUUUUUAUUAAACUUGAAUUAAUAAUUAAGAUUAGUAUAAAUAAUGAUUAAAUUAGUAUAAUAGAUUAUUUUAAUAUUUAUAGUAAGUAAAUUUACGUUAAGGAAUUAGGCAAAAAUAAUGCUCGCCUGUUUAGCAAAAACAUGUCUUUUUGGAUGAAUAAAAAGUCUGGCCUGCCCACUGAGUAUUUGAAGGGCCGCGGUAUUUUGACCGUGCAAAGGUAGCAUAAUCAUUAGUCUUUUAAUUGGGGGCUGGAAUGAAAGGUUGGACGAAGUAUUAACUGUCUCGGUGUAAUGUUAUUAUAAUUUAACUUUUUAGUAAAAAGGCUAAAAUGUUGAUGGAGGACGAGAAGACCCUAUAAAGUUUCAUAAAUUUAUUUGUAGAUUGAUUUUAUUUGAUUUGAAAUUUAUAAUUAAAUUUAUUUAAUUGGGGUGAUUUGAAGAUUAAUUAAACUCUUUAUUUUUGGUUACUUGGAUAAGAGGAUUUUUGAUCCAUAAGUUGUGAUUAUAAGAUGAAAUUACUUUAGGGAUAACAGCGUUAUUUUCUUUGAGAGUUCUUAUCGACAAGAAAGAUUGCGACCUCGAUGUUGAAUUAAGGUAAUUUAUGGGUGUAGAUGUUCAUAAAAUAAGUCUGUUCGACUUUUAAAUCCUUACAUGAUUUGAGUUCAGACCGGUGUGAGCCAGGUCGGUUUCUAUCCUCAAUUGAAUAAAACAUUUUAGUACGAAAGGACCAAAUGUUAUGUAAAUUAUUUUUAUUAGAUUAAUAUUAAUU
rnacentral:rRNA from 1 species